rnacentral:rRNA from 1 species
UGGGGAAUAUUGCACAAUGGGCGCAAGCCUGAUGCAGCCAUGCCGCGUGUAUGAAGAAGGCCUUCGGGUUGUAAAGUACUUUCAGUCGGGAGGAAGGUGGUAAGGUUAAUAACCUUAUCAAUUGACGUUACCGACAGAAGAAGCACCGGCUAACUCCGUGCCAGCAGCCGCGGUAAUACGGAGGGUGCAAGCGUUAAUCGGAAUUACUGGGCGUAAAGCGCACGCAGGCGGUCUGUCAAGUCGGAUGUGAAAUCCCCGGGCUCAACCUGGGAACUGCAUUCGAAACUGGCAGGCUAGAGUCUUGUAGAGUGGGGUAGAAUUCCAGGUGUAGCGGUGAAAUGCGUAGAGAUCUGGAGGAAUACCGGUGGCGAAGGCGGCCCCCUGGACAAAGACUGACGCUCAGGUGCGAAAGCGUGGGGAGCAAACAGG